ACCUAGCGGCGGACGGGUGAGUAAUGCUUAGGAAUCUGCCUAUUAGUGGGGGACAACAUUCCGAAAGGAAUGCUAAUACCGCAUACGCCCUACGGGGGAAAGCAGGGGAUCUUCGGACCUUGCGCUAAUAGAUGAGCCUAAGUCAGAUUAGCUAGUUGGUGGGGUAAAGGCCUACCAAGGCGACGAUCUGUAGCGGGUCUGAGAGGAUGAUCCGCCACACUGGGACUGAGACACGGCCCAGACUCCUACGGGAGGCAGCAGUGGGGAAUAUUGGACAAUGGGCGAAAGCCUGAUCCAGCCAUGCCGCGUGUGUGAAGAAGGCCUUUUGGUUGUAAAGCACUUUAAGCGAGGAGGAGGCUACUUAGAUUAAUACUCUAGGAUAGUGGACGUUACUCGCAGAAUAAGCACCGGCUAACUCUGUGCCAGCAGCCGCGGUAAUACAGAGGGUGCGAGCGUUAAUCGGAUUUACUGGGCGUAAAGCGUGCGUAGGCGGCUUCUUAAGUCGGAUGUGAAAUCCCUGAGCUUAACUUAGGAAUUGCAUUCGAUACUGGGAAGCUAGAGUAUGGGAGAGGAUGGUAGAAUUCCAGGUGUAGCGGUGAAAUGCGUAGAGAUCUGGAGGAAUACCGAUGGCGAAGGCAGCCAUCUGGCCUAAUACUGACGCUGAGGUACGAAAGCAUGGGGAGCAAACAGGAUUAGAUACCCUGGUAGUCCAUGCCGUAAACGAUGUCUACUAGCCGUUGGGGCCUUUGAGGCUUUAGUG
rnacentral:rRNA from 1 species